AAGUCGUAACAAGGUUUCCGUAGGUGAACCUGCGGAAGGAUCAUUAAAGAAUUGAAUGGGGAUAUACAGCAAUCUAAUUUGUUUGUAUAUUUCCCCUUUUAUAUUCAUGCACACACUGCACAUUUCUGAUGUGUUAGUGUUUUCUAUUUAGAAUCAUUUUUUGUUUAUUAUUUAGUUUCUUUUUUUUUUUUGUAUACAUAUUCAAUACUCUUGAAUAAGUAAUAAAAAACAAUUAACAACUUUCAGCAACGGAUCUCUUGGCUCUC
rnacentral:misc_RNA from 1 species